GUGCCAGCAGCCGCGGUAAUACGUAGGUCCCGAGCGUUGUCCGGAUUUAUUGGGCGUAAAGCGAGCGCAGGCGGUUAGAUAAGUCUGAAGUUAAAGGCCUGUGGCUNAACCNAUAGUACGCUUUGGAAACUGUCUAACUUGAGUGCAGAAGGGGAGAGUGGAAUUCCAUGUGUAGCGGUGAAAUGCGUAGAUAUAUGGAGGAACACCGGUGGCGAAAAGCGGCUCUCUGGUCUGUAACUGACGCUGAGGCUCGAAAGCGUGGGGAGCGAACAGGAUUAGAUACCCUGGUAGUCC
rnacentral:rRNA from 1 species